AGCGCAGACGGUUAUUUAAGCAAGAUGUGAAAGCCCCGGGCUCAACCUGGGAACUGCGUUUUGAACUGGGUAACUAGAGUGUGUCAGAGGGGGGUAGAAUUCCACGUGUAGCAGUGAAAUGCGUAGAGAUGUGGAGGAAUACCGAUGGCGAAGGCAGCCCCCUGGGAUAACACUGACGUUCAUGCUCGAAAGUGUGGGUAAGCAAACA
rnacentral:rRNA from 1 species